rnacentral:rRNA from 1 species
CCCCUAGAUGUUCUGGGCCGCACGCGCGCUACACUGAACAGUUCAACAAGUCUUAACCUUGGCCGAUAGGUCUGGGUAAUCUUUGAACGCUGUUCGUGAUUGGGAUAGACCUUUGCAAUUAUGGGUCUUCAACGAGGAAUUCCUAGUAAACGCAAGUCAUCAGCUUGCAUUGAUUACGUCCCUGCCCUUUGUACACACCGCCCGUCGCUCCUACCGAUUGAAUGGUCCGGUGAAAUGUUCGGACCGCGACAAGGCGGACGGUUCGCUGUCAGCUUUGCUGCGGGAAGUUCAUUAAACCUUAUCAUUUAGAGGAAGGAGAAGUCGUAACA